GCAUCGAUGAAGAACGCAGCGAAAUGCGAUAAGUAAUGUGAAUUGCAGAAUUCAGUGAAUCAUCGAAUCUUUGAACGCACCUUGCGCUCCAUGGUAUUCCGUGGAGCAUGCCUGUUUGAGUGUCAUGAAUACUUCAACCCUCCUCUUUCUUAAUGAUUGAAGAGGUGUUUGGUUUCUGAGCGCUGCUGGCCUUUACGGUCUAGCUCGUUCGUAAUGCAUUAGCAUCCGCAAUCGAAUUUCGGAUUGACUUGGCGUAAUAGACUAUUCGCUGAGGAAUUCUAGUCUUCGGAUUAGAGCCGGGUUGGGUUAAAGGGAGCUUCUAAUCAGAAUGUCUACAUUUUAAGAUUAGAUCUCAAAUCAGGUAGGACUACCCGCUGAACUUAAGCAUAUCAAUAAGCGGAGGA
rnacentral:rRNA from 1 species